CAUGCAAGUCGAGGGGUAACAGGAAGUGCUUGCACUUCGCUGACGACCGGCGCACGGGUGAGUACCGCGUAUACAAUCUGCCUCAUACUAGGGAAUAGCCCGAAGAAAUUUGGAUUAAUGCCCUAUAGUAUCUUUUUAAGGCAUCUUAUUAAGAUUAAAGGUUACGGUAUGAGAUGAGUAUGCGUUCUAUUAGCUAGUAGGUGUGGUAACGGCACACCUAGGCUACGAUAGAUAGGGGCCCUGAGAGGGGGAUCCCCCACACUGGUACUGAGACACGGACCAGACUCCUACGGGAGGCAGCAGUAAGGAAUAUUGGACAAUGGGCGAAAGCCUGAUCCAGCCAUGCCGCGUGCAGGAUGACUGCCCUAUGGGUUGUAAACUGCUUUUAUAUAGGAAGAAAAACUUUCUCGUGAGAAAGCUUGACGGUACUAUAAGAAUAAGGAUCGGCUAACUCCGUGCCAGCAGCCGCGGUAAUACGGAGGAUCCAAGCGUUAUCCGGAAUCAUUGGGUUUAAAGGGUCCGUAGGUGGACAAAUAAGUCAGAGGUGAAAUCCUGCAGCUUAACUGUAGAACUGCCUUUGAUACUGCUUGUCUUGAGUUA
rnacentral:rRNA from 1 species